rnacentral:rRNA from 1 species
AGAUUAAGUUAUUAAGGGCGCACGGUGGAUGCCUUGGCACUAGAAGCCGAUGAAGGACGUUACUAACGACGAUAUGCUUUGGGGAGCUGUAAGUAAGCUUUGAUCCAGAGAUUUCCGAAUGGGGAAACCCAGCAUGAGUUAUGUCAUGUUAUCGAUAUGUGAAUACAUAGCAUAUCAGAAGGCACACCCGGAGAACUGAAACAUCUUAGUACCCGGAGGAAGAGAAAGAAAAUUCGAUUCCCUUAGUAGCGGCGAGCGAAACGGGAAGAGCCCAAACCAACAAGCUUGCUUGUUGGGGUUGUAGGACACUCUAUACGGAGUUACAAAGGACGACAUUAGACGAAUCAUCUGGAAAGAUGAAUCAAAGAAGGUAAUAAUCCUGUAGUCGAAAAUGUUGUCUCUCUUGAGUGGAUCCUGAGUACGACGGAGCACGUGAAAUUCCGUCGGAAUCUGGGAGGACCAUCUCCUAAGGCUAAAUACUCUCUAGUGACCGAUAGUGAACCAGUACCGUGAGGGAAAGGUGAAAAGCACCCCGGAAGGGGAGUGAAAUAGAACCUGAAACCGUGUGCUUACAAGUAGUCAGAGCCCGUUAAUGGGUGAUGGCGUGCCUUUUGUAGAAUGAACCGGCGAGUUACGAUUUGAUGCAAGGUUAAGCAGUAAAUGUGGAGCCGUAGCGAAAGCGAGUCUGAAUAGGGCGUUUAGUAUUUGGUCGUAGACCCGAAACCAGGUGAUCUACCCUUGGUCAGGUUGAAGUUCAGGUAACACUGAAUGGAGGACCGAACCGACUUACGUUGAAAAGUGAGCGGAUGAACUGAGGGUAGCGGAGAAAUUCCAAUCGAACCUGGAGAUAGCUGGUUCUCUCCGAAAUAGCUUUAGGGCUAGCCUCAAGUGAUGAUUAUUGGAGGUAGAGCACUGUUUGGACGAGGGGCCCCUCUCGGGUUACCGAAUUCAGACAAACUCCGAAUGCCAAUUAAUUUAACUUGGGAGUCAGAACAUGGGUGAUAAGGUCCGUGUUCGAAAGGGAAACAGCCCAGACCACCAGCUAAGGUCCCAAAAUAUAUGUUAAGUGGAAAAGGAUGUGGCGUUGCCCAGACAACUAGGAUGUUGGCUUAGAAGCAGCCAUCAUUUAAAGAGUGCGUAAUAGCUCACUAGUCGAGUGACACUGCGCCGAAAAUGUACCGGGGCUAAACAUAUUACCGAAGCUGUGGAUUGUCCUUUGGACAAUGGUAGGAGAGCGUUCUAAGGGCGUUGAAGCAUGAUCGUAAGGACAUGUGGAGCGCUUAGAAGUGAGAAUGCCGGUGUGAGUAGCGAAAGACGGGUGAGAAUCCCGUCCACCGAUUGACUAAGGUUUCCAGAGGAAGGCUCGUCCGCUCUGGGUUAGUCGGGUCCUAAGCUGAGGCCGACAGGCGUAGGCGAUGGAUAACAGGUUGAUAUUCCUGUACCACCUAUAAUCGUUUUAAUCGAUGGGGGACGCAGUAGGAUAGGCGAAGCGUGCGAUUGGAUUGCACGUCUAAGCAGUAAGGCUGAGUAUUAGGCAAAUCCGGUACUCAUUAAGGCUGAGCUGUGAUGGGGAGAAGACAUUGUGUCUUCGAGUCGUUGAUUUCACACUGCCGAGAAAAGCCUCUAGAUAGAAAAUAGGUGCCCGUACCGCAAACCGACACAGGUAGUCAAGAUGAGAAUUCUAAGGUGAGCGAGCGAACUCUCGUUAAGGAACUCGGCAAAAUGACCCCGUAACUUCGGGAGAAGGGGUGCUCUUUAGGGUUAACGCCCAGAAGAGCCGCAGUGAAUAGGCCCAAGCGACUGUUUAUCAAAAACACAGGUCUCUGCUAAACCGUAAGGUGAUGUAUAGGGGCUGACGCCUGCCCGGUGCUGGAAGGUUAAGAGGAGUGGUUAGCUUCUGCGAAGCUACGAAUCGAAGCCCCAGUAAACGGCGGCCGUAACUAUAACGGUCCUAAGGUAGCGAAAUUCCUUGUCGGGUAAGUUCCGACCCGCACGAAAGGCGUAACGAUUUGGGCACUGUCUCAACGAGAGACUCGGUGAAAUCAUAGUACCUGUGAAGAUGCAGGUUACCCGCGACAGGACGGAAAGACCCCGUGGAGCUUUACUGUAGCCUGAUAUUGAAAUUCGGCACAGCUUGUACAGGAUAGGUAGGAGCCUUUGAAACGUGAGCGCUAGCUUACGUGGAGGCGCUGGUGGGAUACUACCCUAGCUGUGUUGGCUUUCUAACCCGCACCACUUAUCGUGGUGGGAGACAGUGUCAGGCGGGCAGUUUGACUGGGGCGGUCGCCUCCUAAAAGGUAACGGAGGCGCUCAAAGGUUCCCUCAGAAUGGUUGGAAAUCAUUCAUAGAGUGUAAAGGCAUAAGGGAGCUUGACUGCGAGACCUACAAGUCGAGCAGGGUCGAAAGACGGACUUAGUGAUCCGGUGGUUCCGCAUGGAAGGGCCAUCGCUCAACGGAUAAAAGCUACCCCGGGGAUAACAGGCUUAUCUCCCCCAAGAGUUCACAUCGACGGGGAGGUUUGGCACCUCGAUGUCGGCUCAUCGCAUCCUGGGGCUGUAGUCGGUCCCAAGGGUUGGGCUGUUCGCCCAUUAAAGCGGUACGCGAGCUGGGUUCAGAACGUCGUGAGACAGUUCGGUCCCUAUCCGUCGUGGGCGUAGGAAAUUUGAGAGGAGCUGUCCUUAGUACGAGAGGACCGGGAUGGACAUACCUCUGGUGUACCAGUUGUCGUGCCAACGGCAUAGCUGGGUAGCUAUGUGUGGACGGGAUAAGUGCUGAAAGCAUCUAAGCAUGAAGCCCCCCUCAAGAUGAGAUUUCCCAACUUCGGUUAUAAGAUCCCUCAAAGAUGAUGAGGUUAAUAGGUUCGAGGUGGAAGCAUGGUGACAUGUGGAGCUGACGAAUACUAAUCGAUCGAAGACUUAAUCAAAUU